UGUCAACCCCAAGCAACAAACUUUCUUGUCAUGCUCCCUGUGCCAGACAUUACUUAGACGACCCAUAAACCAACAAUAGUAUAAAAUAAAAAUUGCUUCAACAAUAAUAACCAACCUAUCAUUUCAUCUCAUAACUAAAGCCCAAGAACAAAGAAAUGAAGCACAUGACAGAUUACCUUCUAAAAUUAGCCCGUGCACCACUUUUUUUCACUUGUUGCAACAUCUGG
rnacentral:misc_RNA from 1 species